UACGUAGGGAGCAAGCGUUGUCCGGAAUCAUUGGGCGUAAAGCGCGCGUAGGUGGCCCCAUAAGUCCGCUGUGAAAGUCAAAGGCUCAACCUUUGAAAGCCGGUGGAUACUGUGGGACUAGAGUACGGAAGAGGCGAGUGGAAUUCCUGGUGUAGCGGUGGAAUGCGCAGAUAUCAGGAGGAACACCAAUAGCGAAGGCAGCUCGCUGGGACGUUACUGACACUGAGGCGACGAAAGCGUGGGGAGCAAACAGG
rnacentral:rRNA from 1 species